AAGUCGUAACAAGGUCUCCGUUGGUGAACCAGCGGAGGGAUCAUUACUGAGUAUCUUACUCUCUACCCUUUGUGAACUAUUAUACCUGUUGCUUCGGCGGCGCGCCCCCCGGGGCGUGCCCGCCGGUAUCAUCAGAAUCUCUGUUUGAACCCGACGAUACAUCUGAGUGUUCUAAGCGAACUGUUAAAACUUUCAACAACGGAUCUCUUGGCUCCA
rnacentral:misc_RNA from 1 species